UGGGGAAUAUUGCACAAUGGAGGGAACUCUGAUGCAGCGACGCCGCGUGAACGAAGAAGGCUUUCGAGUCGUAAAGUUCUUUUAUAUGGGAAGAUAAUGACGGUACCAUAGAAGAAAGCUCCGGCUAAAUACGUGCCAGCAGCCGCGGUAAUACGUAUGGAGCGAGCGUUGUCCGGAAUUAUUGGGCGUAAAGGGUACGCAGGCGGUUUAAUAAGUCGAAUGUUAAAGAUCGGGGCUCAACCCCGUAAAGCAUUGGAAACUGAUAAACUUGAGUAGUGGAGAGGAAAGUGGAAUUCCUAGUGUAGUGGUGAAAUACGUAGAUAUUAGGAGGAAUACCAGUAGCGAAGGCGACUUUCUGGACACAAACUGACGCUGAGGUACGAAAGCGUGGGGAGCAAACAGG
rnacentral:rRNA from 1 species